GCCAGUUGAUGAAUCUGCAGAUUCGCCUUUGCGGCGUGAUAGACAUGCAGUCGGACGAGAUUUUCCGUGUAGCAUACGAUGGAAAGUCUAGUGGCGGACGGGUGCUUAACACGUGGCAACCUGCCAGGAAGUGGGGGAUAGCUCGCCGAAAGGCGAAUUAAUACCGCAUGUGAUUAGAGAGGACAUCCUUUCGAAAUUAAAGUCGGGGCAACCUGACGCUUCUUGUGGGGCCCGCGGCCUAUCAGCUAGUUGGUGAGGUAACAGCUCACCAAGGCUUUGACGGGUAGCUGGUCUGAGAGGACGACCAGCCACACUGGGACUGAGACACGGCCCAGACACCUACGGGUGGCAGCAGUCGAGAAUUUUUGACAAUGGGGGAAACCCUGAUCGAGCGACGCCGCGUGGAGGAUGAAGGUCCUCGGAUUGUAAACUCCUGUCAUUGGGGAACAAGGUGCAUACGUUAACUGCGUGUGCAUUGAUAGUACCCGAAGAGGAAGAGACGGCUAACUCUGUGCCAGCAGCCGCGGUAAUACAGAGGUCUCAAGCGUUGUUCGGAUUCAUUGGGCGUAAAGGGUGCGUAGGCGGCGCGGUAAGUCGGGUGUGAAAUCUCGGAGCUUAACUCCGA
rnacentral:rRNA from 1 species